GAGAGCCGUAUCCUGGAAAACCGGGACGUACGGUUCUGAAGUUGAAGCGGAGGGGGCGACCUCUCCGCUUUCGCCAUUUUAUAUCUUAUAUUCCGGUUUGUCCGUUGAUAAUAAAUUUGAUAACCGCCAAACCAACCCCGGC
rnacentral:ncRNA from 1 species